CGCUGGCGACAGCGGCGGAAUGGCAGCAGGCGCUGGCGUAGGCAUCGCCAUAGUCGUGUUGGUGAUCCUCGUGCUGGUGGUCGGUCUUCUGGUUUUCAGGUCCAGCUUCCAGCGGCGCAAAAAACUGCGUAGACUCCAAGUCCCUGUGCGGCCUCCGGUUCCCGACACCCUUCCGUUACAUCCGCUGCAACCUGCCCGACAUCCGCAGCAGGAUCAGAACGCACAGCAGCGAGAUGCUCAUCAGGGAGCUGCAAACUGCAG